AAAUUGAAGAGUUUGAUCAUGGCUCAGAUUGAACGCUGGCGGCAGGCCUAACACAUGCAAGUCGAACGGUAACAGGAAGCAGCUUGCUGCUUUGCUGACGAGUGGCGGACGGGUGAGUAAUGUCUGGGAAGCUGCCUGAUGGAGGGGGAUAACUACUGGAAACGGUGGCUAAUACCGCAUAACGUCGCAAGACCAAAGAGGGGGACCUUCGGGCCUCUUGCCAUCAGAUGUGCCCAGAUGGGAUUAGCUUGUUGGUGAGGUAACGGCUCACCAAGGCGACGAUCCCUAGCUGGUCUGAGAGGAUGACCAGCCACACUGGAACUGAGACACGGUCCAGACUCCUACGGGAGGCAGCAGUGGGGAAUAUUGCACAAUGGGCGCAAGCCUGAUGCAGCCAUGCCGCGUGUAUGAAGAAGGCCUUCGGGUUGUAAAGUACUUUCAGCGGGGAGGAAGGUGUUGUGGUUAAUAACCACAGCAAUUGACGUUACCCGCAGAA
rnacentral:rRNA from 1 species